CAGCUCCAGAUGCUGAUUCAUCGGGUCCCUUCAGCACUGUGACUGCCUCCUCAGGGGCCAGGCCAAGGAAGUGACUAAGUUUCAAGUCGUCCCCCAAAUGGGAGAGGCAGUACAAGAGGUCCAUGUGUGAUAUUCUACUGAAUGCUCCCUCACCCAUAAAGCAAACCAGGAAGAUAAGCUGUGAUUAUCUUAUCAGAAAACAGGGAUUCAGCAGUGAAGCAGGAUGCCAUAGCCUCUGCCUUUGAGUCCUUAAAGAAAUCUGAUUCUCAUGACCUAAUUAAUCCAAGAGUCUCUUGGAUUUUCUUAAGUGUUUCCCUGUAAUAACAGGACUUGCCUAGGAGAUGUCAAAUCAAUAUACCUGUUCCACU